CCUACGGGGGGCUGCAGUGAGGAAUCUUCCACAAUGGGGGCAACCCUGAUGGAGCGACACCGCGUGAAGGAUGAAGGUCUAACGAUUGUAAACUUCUUUUCUGAGGGAGCAUAAUGAGAGUACUUCAGGAAUAAGGGACGGCUAAAUACGUGCCAGCAGCCGCGGUAAUACGUAUGUCUCGAGCGUUAUCCGGAAUUACUGGGUGUAAAGGGUUUGUAGGUUGUUAGUUAAGUAGGGUAUGAAAGACCGGAGCUCAACUCCGUGUUUGUAUUCUA
rnacentral:rRNA from 1 species